rnacentral:rRNA from 1 species
GACGAACGCUGGCGGCGUGCCUAAUACAUGCAAGUAGAACGCUGAAGAGAGGAGCUUACUCUUCUUGGAUGAGUUGCGAACGGGUGAGUAACGCGUAGGUAACCUGCCUUGUAGCGGGGGAUAACUAUUGGAAACGAUAGCUAAUACCGCAUAACAAUGGAUGACACAUGUCAUUUAUUUGAAAGGGGCAAUUGCUCCACUACAAGAUGGACCUGCGUUGUAUUAGCUAGUAGGUGAGGUAAUGGCUCACCUAGGCGACGAUACAUAGCCGACCUGAGAGGGUGAUCGGCCACACUGGGACUGAGACACGGCCCAGACUCCUACGGGAGGCAGCAGUAGGGAAUCUUCGGCAAUGGGGGCAACCCUGACCGAGCAACGCCGCGGGAGGGAAGAAGGUUUUCGGAUCGUAAAGCUCUGUUGUAAGUCAAGAACGGGUGUGAGAGUGGAAAGUUCACACUGUGACGGUAGCUUACCAGAAAGGGACGGCUAACUACGUG